rnacentral:rRNA from 1 species
UACGGGGGGAGCAAGCGUUGUUCGGAUUUACUGGGCGUAAAGGGCGCGUAGGCGGCGUGACAAGUCACUUGUGAAAUCUCCGGGCUUAACUCGGAGCGGCCAAGUGAUACUGUCGUGCUAGGGUGCGGAAGGGGCUACUGGAAUUCUCGGUGUAGCGGUGAAAUGCGUAGAUAUCGAGAGGAACACCUGCGGCGAAGGCGGGUAGCUGGGCCGACACUGACGCUGAGGCGCGAAAGCUAGGGGAGCGAACGGG